rnacentral:rRNA from 1 species
CUUAGGAUGAACGCUAGCGACAGGCCUAACACAUGCAAGUCAGGGGCAGCACAAGGAGCAAUCUGAGGUGGCGACCGGCGCACGGGUGAGUAACACGUAUGCAACCUGCCUGUAAGCGGGGAAUAACCCGUUGAAAGACGGACUAAUACCGCAUAAUACUAAAUUACUGCAUGGUAAUUAUUUAAACAUUUAUGGCUUACAGAUGGGCAUGCGCAUGAUUAGCUAGUUGGAGAGGUAACGGCUCCCCAAGGCAACGAUCAUUAGGGGUUCUGAGAGGAAGGUCCCCCACACUGGUACUGAGACACGGACCAGACUCCUACGGGAGGCAGCAGUGAGGAAUAUUGGUCAAUGGACGAGAGUCUGAACCAGCCAAGUCGCGUGCAGGAAGAAUGUCCUUAAUGGAUUGUAAACUGCUUUUGCAGGGGAAUAAAGUGCAUCACGUGUGAUGUUUUGUAUGUACUCUGCGAAUAAGGAUCGGCUAACUCCGUGCCAGCCGCUGC